GCUGGCUUGAUUAGCAUUUUGCGGAAAGAGUAAAAAAAAUGUGUUGUAAUAUACUGUUUCAAUAUCUUAGAGAAACCAAUUUAAGUGGAAGGAUAUAGUUUUUUUUAAACAAUGCUUACACACAACAUUCUGGUCCACACUCACACCAGAUGGUGGCGGUAAUGCACCAAAAAGUUGUUUGCCAACCGCCAAUAAACCUUAAUAGAAGAAGAAGACGUCAAGGCGAUCGAGGCAGAUGGACUGCACGCUGUUAAAACUUCACUAAGAUCGGUGUUGGACCGGCGAACACUUAGGCCUAUGUUAUCAGAGGACUUGCUAACAUGAAGAAAACGGUCCAGAGGUUCCACCUGAGAGCCGGGACUGUAAGUAAGAGACAACGAAAAGAGGGGAACUGUCUUUAAGCUGUGGAGUCAGAUGGAGGGCUCGCAUUUACCUCAAAAACGGCAUUGCAGAAGACUCGAACAACUAGAACCAACUCAAGCACACAAUAGUGACACACAUUUGUAAGAUGUUUCCCUGUGAUAUAAAAUUUCACUGUUGUAAUUAUUCAGAUUCUUCUCAUUCUUAUUGUGUAGCACUGUUUUAAGCUUAGUGAAUAUUAUGUACAGUAAGCACUAGAAGUAGAGACUUAUACUACUUGGGGUAGUUUUAAAUUAACUUUAAUUUUGCUUUUGAUGCAAAAAUUAUCAAAAGAAAAGAUGUAGUGUAGUAAAAGAUGUUUUGUUGUAAUUCAAUUGUUUUAAUAUGAAUAUUGUUUUAGUAGUGUUCAGGACAGUAAUUGUCUGUACAUCUAAAUCAGUUAUUUAAACUUUUUGUUGUCUAAGACCUUGAUAUUAUACCUUAAGGAAAAAAAAAAAAGAUAUUUAAUUAUGUAUUAUGUACCCAGACAGCAACAUAGUUCUGGCCCAGAUCCAGCCCACAUCUG